UCCGGGAAAACAAGCCCAGAAGGCGGCGGACACUCGCAUAAAGUCACGCAGUAGUACUCGGAGCCCGGGGUAGAACCUGGACUUCAAAUCUCUGCACUCCCGGCCGGGUGGUGGGCGCAUAUCCUGGGUAGCCUCUAGGAAGCGCUAGACACAUGGAACCAAGGCAGAUUCAGCCUGGCAGCUGGCAAGUCAUGGAGCACUGCCUGUCCAUCUGCGAGCUAACAACAGUCGCGCUGGAAGUCAACAAGGGAAAUGGAAAGGGAGAGACCCAGCCUCCACAGGGGCUCACGCCCUGGGACCUGUGCCAGUGUGAACAAGGUUUUCCGGGCCCAGGAAGCAGGCCUAAGUACUCUCAUUUCAUCACUGAGGAGCCUGAGACGUUCAGUCAUUGAUUGGACAGCCCUCACCAUUCAAGCCCUCCUUGGUUUACAGCAGCAGAAAGAGAGGCUCUGAAGGGUCUAGCCAGAGGAAGCUGCAGCCAGGCCUGGCAGUCUCCCCUGCUCCCUUCCACCAGCUUGGUUCCUGUUUCUGCUGGUCCUGGGAGCCCCCAGCAGAUGGACUGCCCUUAUCAGCCGGCUCCAGGCCAGAGGAGGAAUCCUCCGGUCACGUGUGGCUCUCUGGAGGGAGAGAGACCUCAUAAAUACAUACAGCCCACGCAGAGGAAGGGGGGAGGGUCAAGGGGAAAGAAACCUUGACAUUCUGGCGACUGGGCCAGGAUUAAAGUCCACCAGGCAUAGUCCUUAUUGGCUAUUUCUAUGAGGAAUCUCAAAUCCACAUGGCUUCCCUGGAUGACAACGCUGACUUUGACUAGCCCUGGGAUCUGGGGCAUUCCCAGUGUGCUGCUGGCUUGAUCCAGGCCUAAUCCUUUGCCCAGGACUGACCUUUCACAGUUUACAGAGCACUUUAUCUCCUGGCUCAGUGAAGUCUCACAGAACCCUCCAGAGAGAAGGGAGUUUAUCAUCACCCUCAAUUUACAGAUGAGGAAGCUGAGGCUGCGAUUGUAACUGACUGACUGCUGGCUACGCAGCUACAAGUGACCGAGUCCAGCCUGAAAGCCACAUAUAUUCUCCCACAAAAUCCAGAGCUGCCAAACACAUCCUCCUCCAUGAGUCUUGCUUUGUGCCCAUCACUGAGCUCCAUGCCCCGGGCGAGCCAUCGUUCCUGCCUGGCGAAGUCCACAAUCCAAUAAGGAGGGAAGGUUGAAGGGAUGAAUCUCAACAGAAUUGUGCACAGUGAAAGAAGCCAAUGAAAGAAGAGUACAUAUUGUAUAAUUCCAUUUAUAGAAAACUCUAGAAAAUGCAAGCUGAUCUACAGUGACAGAAAGCAGAUCCAUGGUUGUUUGGGGAAGUGAGGCAGAAGGAAAGGAUUCAGAGAAGCACAAGGAACCUUUUAGGGUGGUAGACAUGCUUACUAUCUGGUACUGAGAGUUUCUCAUGUCUGCACGUAUCUAAUUGUACACUUUAAAUACACACAGUUUAUUGUAUGUCAAUUAUAUCUCCAUAAAGCUAUUUAAAAAGAGGAACGUAAGUGGGGAAAAGAAUGAAGGAAGUUGGCUGGCGUAUAAUUAAGUAAGUCUGUGAGCAGUCUUAAAGUGGGGACACAAAGUACCAUGGGCACGUAAGAGAAGAAGGUAGAGAUUCAUUCCCAAACGGAAGAGAUCAGGAAGGAGUUCUUAGAACAGGGUUUCAACAAAGCUCAAGGUAUGGAUAAGUAAGGGUCAGGUUAAGAAAGAUUCAGAUGGAAGAUACAGAUAGAGUUUAUUUGGGAAAUAGAGAGUGGAGUAUUAUACACACGCACAAUUCGCCUUUUUACCCAAGUUUUGAAGGACUGAAGUUAAAACUAACAGCAACUAUCCUCUCUUUUCUUCAGAAAUUCAGACACAUGCCCUACUUGGCAGGCAGCUAGUUUUGCUAAUAAGAUUCCUGCCCUUCUCCCUCCCUCUCUGUGCAUCUCAUCCCUUCGGUCCCGCUGAGGCCCCUACCCUCUCGGAUUUCCUCUUUGAACUGAACUGCCAAAUACUUGCCAGCUUCCAGGGCCCUGAGUACCCACAUUUCAGCCUCUUCCAAACCCCAGAGUAAGAAGGAGAUUUGGGGAGUUCUGGGUGGGCAUGUGAUGGGAGACUAGGUCCAACAUAAAAAGAUAUUUCCCUUUUUCUUCCAUACUUUUUGGCUUAGUAAUUGACAUGUGACCAUUGGAGAAUUUUGAAUAGUUUAUUAGAAUACAUUGUGAUAGAGAAGAAGGAAAUUCAAGAAUUGUUACAAUGUUGUACACUGAUUAACUGGCUAAUUUGCUGCAAAACCAAUUCUGAUCACUGCUCUUAUGGUUUGUAAUACAUUAUUUUGGGUUUGGAUGAUCCUGUUAUUCAUAGCUUUACAUAAAGAAAUAUUCCAAUGACAUAUGAAACCCA
rnacentral:lncRNA from 10 species